rnacentral:rRNA from 1 species
UCGCGGUGGCGGAGCGUCGUUUGCGACGCCCAACACACAAAACAAGCGGUGAGUGCUUUGGGGUGGGGUGACUGCGUACCUUUUGUAUAAUGGGUCAGCGACUUAUAUUCUGUAGCAAGGUUAACCGUAUAGGGGAGCCGUAGGGAAACCGAGUCUUAACCGGGCGUUAAGUUGCAGGGUAUAGACCCGAAACCCGGUGAUCUAGCCAUGGGCAGGUUGAAGGUUGGGUAACACUAACUGGAGGACCGAACCGACUAAUGUUGAAAAAUUAGCGGAUGACCUGUGGCUGGGGGUGAAAGGCCAAUCAAACCGGGAGAUAGCUGGUUCUCCCCGAAAGCUAUUUAGGUAGCGCCUCGUGAACUCAUCUCCGGGGGUAGAGCACUGUUUCGGCUAGGGGGCCAUCCCGACUUACCAACCCGAUGCAAACUGCGAAUACCGAAGAAUGUUAUCACGGGAGACACACGGCGGGUGCUAACGUCCGUCGUGAAGAGGGAAACAACCCAGACCGCCAGCUAAGGUCCCAAAGUCACAGUUAAGUGGGAAACGAUGUGGGAAGGCUCAGACAGCCAGGAUGUUGGCUUAGAAGCAGCCAUCAUUUAAAGAAAGCGUAAUAGCUCACUGGUCGAGUCGGCCUGCGCGGAAGAUGUAACGGGGCUAAACUGUGCACCGAAGCUGCGGCAGCGACGCUUAUGCGUUGUUGGGUAGGGGAGCGUUCUGUAAGCCUGCGAAGGUGUCCUGUGAGGGAUGCUGGAGGUAUCAGAAGUGCGAAUGCUGACAUAAGUAACGAUAAUGCGGGUGAAAAGCCCGCUCGCCGGAAGACCAAGGGUUCCUGUCCAACGUUAAUCGGGGCAGGGUGAGUCGACCCCUAAGGCGAGGCCGAAAGGCGUAGUCGAUGGGAAACGGGUUAAUAUUCCCGUA